rnacentral:rRNA from 1 species
GAUGAACGCUAGGCGGGAGGCUUAACACAUGCAAGUCGAGGGGUAAAUGGUAGCAAUACUAUGAGACCGGCGGACGGGUGCGUAACGCGUAUGCAACAUUACCUUGUGCAGGGGGAUAGCCCGUGGAAACGCGGAAUUAAUAUUCCAUAGUCCAGCUAUAUCGCAGUGGUAUAGUUGGUAAAGAUUUAUCGGCACAAGUUUGGCAUGCGUCUGAUUAGCUUGUUGGUAGGGUAACGGCCUACCAAGGCUACGAUCAGUAGGGGUUCUGAGAGGAUUAACCCCCACACUGGUACUGAGACACGGACCAGACUCCUACGGGAGGCAGCAGUGAGGAAUAUUGGUCAAUGGGCGGAAGCCUGAACCAGCCAUCCCGCGUGAAGGAAGACAGCCUUACGGGUUGUAAACUUCUUUUCUGUCAGAAGAAUAAGCUUGUCGAGACGAGUGAUGCCGGUAUGACAGGAAUAAGCAUCGGCUAACUCCGUG